AUAAAACCAAAAAUGUUAUGUAGUAUGUAUAAUGUUACUAUAUAUAAAAUUAAACUAUAAAAUAUAAAUGUACUAGAGAAUGAUACAAUUUGCAAAACUUUUAUAUAUGAAAAAUAAUUCUUAAAUUUUAAAAAUUACUACUUUAAAAAAAAAUCACGGGACGGGUAAAGAAAUUACAGAACGUGUUUUAUUUUGGAAUUGGGUUAUAUGGUGGAUGUAUUUGAAUCAAUAUUUAUAAAAUUUUAAAAUAUUAUUAAUAUGCUGUUUUAAUAGGAAUUAAAAACUUCAGUUUUUUAACAAUUGUCUCAUGAAUUCGUGGUAUAGUUUUACUUAAUAACAAUUAUAAACUGUAAAAUAUAAAUAUUUUAUAAAA
rnacentral:sRNA from 1 species